GUUGGCACAGUGGUUAAGUGCUUGGCUGCUAACCAAAAGGUUGGCAGUUCAAAUCCGCCAC
rnacentral:tRNA from 1 species